UGCAUUUUGACCUAGUCACUCGAGUCUAGAUCAGGGUCUGAAUAUCCUAUAUCAGAUUUCCUCCGAUCGUCAUUCUCUAAGGACUGAGGUUGGACUUAGCUAUCUCAGGUGGCAUUUUGAGUUGAUCCAAGUAGUCAAUAUUAGUCAAAUGUAAUUGCUUUAACAAGAAACCUGUGACAAGGUUUAAAAAGAAAAUUUUAUUAAUGUAACCAAAAGGUGCCAGACUCACCAAUGAUACACUUUUAUUGGAGAAAGAAAUGGAGUUCCCUGCAUGUCAUACCUCUGCCCUCCUGGUCGACCUUCCACCCCUUGUCACCUGUGAGUCCAAAGAUCGCAUUGAUGAGACUGGCUAUGGGUCAAUUGUUGUUGUUCUAAUCAUCGGGCGAAUGCUAAGGCAGCUCUUCAGAUGCUCGGAUCUAUCACCUUCAGACAUACUUUUUAAGAUAGCCUCUCAGGAUCAGGACUUUAAUCUCAUCCUUGAGCUGGAGAUAUUUCUGUGUCAUGACCAUGGUCAUGGUGGAAGAAGCAGUAUUUCUCCUUGCUCCUCC
rnacentral:lncRNA from 1 species